AGUGAACGCUGGCGGUAGGCCUAACACAUGCAAGUCGAACGGCAGCACAGUAAGAUCUUGCUCUUACGGGUGGCGAGUGGCGGACGGGUGAGGAAUACAUCGGAAUCUACUUUUUCGUGGGGGAUAACGUAGGGAAACUUACGCUAAUACCGCAUACGACCUACGGGUGAAAGCAGGGGAUCUUCGGACCUUGCGCGAUUGAAUGAGCCGAUGUCGGAUUAGCUAGUUGGCUGGGUAACGGCCCACCAAGGCGACGAUCCGUAGCUGGUCUGAGAGGAUGAUCAGCCACACUGGAACUGAGACACGGUCCAGACUCCUACGGGAGGCAGCAGUGGGGAAUCUUGGACAAUGGGCGAAAGCCUGAUCCAGCCAUACCGCGUGGGUGAAGAAGGCCUUCGGGUUGUAAAGCCCUUUUGUUGGGAAAGAAAAGCAGCAGGUUAAUCCCCCGCUGUUCUGACGGUACCCAAAGAAUAAGCACCGGCUAACUUCGUG
rnacentral:rRNA from 1 species